rnacentral:rRNA from 1 species
GGACUCUAAAGAAACUGCCGGUGUUAACCGGAGGAAGGUGGGGAUGACGUCAAGUCCUCAUGGCCCUUAUGUCCAGGGCUACACACGUGCUACAAUGGCCGGUACAAAGGGGUGCGAUCCCGCGAGGUUGAGCCAAUCCCAAAAAGCCGGUUCUCAGUUCGGAUUGAAGUCUGCAACUCGACUCCAUGAAGUCGGAAUCGCUAGUAAUC